AUUGAACGCUGGCGGCAGGCCUAACACAUGCAAGUCGAACGAGUGGCGAACGGGUGAGUAAUGUCUGGGAAACUGCCCGAUGGCGGGGGAUAACUACUGGAAACGGUAGCUAAUACCGCAUACCAUCGGAUGUGCCCAGAUGGGCUUAGCUUGUAGGUGAGGUAACGGCUCACCUAGGCGACGCUCCCUAGCUGGUCUGAGAGGAUGACCAGCCACACUGGAACAGAGACACGGUCCAGACUCCUACGGGAGGCAGGAGUGGGGAAUAUUGCACCACGGGCGCAAGCCUGAUGCAGCCAUGCCGCGUGUAUGAAGAAGGCCUUCGGGUUGUACAGUACUUACAGCGGGGAGGCGUUACCCGCAGAAGAAGCACCGGCUAACUGCGUGCCAGCAGCCGCGGUAAUUC
rnacentral:rRNA from 1 species